UAUCGUGAGGUGGAAUCUGAAGAAAGCCGAAGGCAAAACACUGACCUGACGAACAGAAAUCGCAUACAAGGCGGCCGCAGUGGGUAAGAAGGCCAAUAUCUUCAAAGCCCAAAACUUGUCCAGACACUGCGGACGUAGAUGCGGCGGGUAUACGUAGGAAGGU
rnacentral:ncRNA from 1 species